UACGUAGGGUGCGAGCGUUGUCCGGAAUUAUUGGGCGUAAAGAGCUCGUAGGCGGCUUGUCGCGUCGGAUGUGAAAGCCCGGGGCUUAACUCCGGGUCUGCAUUCGAUACGGGCAGGCUAGAGUUCGGUAGGGGAGAUCGGAAUUCCUGGUGUAGCGGUGAAAUGCGUAGAUAUCAGGAGGAAUACCUAUGGCGAAAGCAGGUAUCUGGGCCAUCACUAACGCUGAGCUGCGAAAGCUAGGGGAGCAAACAGG
rnacentral:rRNA from 1 species